rnacentral:rRNA from 1 species
CAGCCGCCGCGGUCCUACGGAAGGUGCAAGGCGUUAUCCGGAUUUAUUGGGUUUAAGGGAGCGUAGCCGGAGAUUAAGCGUGUUGUGAAAUGUAGAUGCUCAACAUCUGAACUGCAGCGCGAACUGGUUUCCUUGAGUACGCACAAAGUGGGCGGAAUUCGUGGUGUACGGUGAAAUGCUUAGAUAUCACGAAGAACUCCGAUUGCGAAGGCAGCUCACUGGAGCGCAACUGACGCUGAAGCUCGAAAGUGCGGGUAUCGAACAGGAUUAAUACCCUGGUAGUCAAGGGCG